rnacentral:misc_RNA from 1 species
GAUGAAGAACGCAGCGAAACGCGAAAGGUAAUGCGAAUUGCAGAAUUCAGUGAAUCAUCGAAUCUUUGAACGCACAUUGCGCCCCUUGGUAUUCCAUGGGGCAUGCCUGUUCGAGCGUCAUUUGUACCUUCAAGCUCUGCUUGGUGUUGGGUGUUUGUCUCGCCUCUGCGUGUAGACUCGCCUCAAAACAAUUGGCAGCCGGCGUAUUGAUUUCGGAGCGCAGUACAUCUCGCGCUUUGCACUCAUAACGACGACGUCCAAAAGUACAUUUUUACACUCUUGACCUCGGAUCAGGUAGGGAUACCCGCUGAACUUAAGCAUAUCAAUAAGCGGAGGA